AGCGAACGCUGGCGGCAGGCCUAACACAUGUAAGUCGAGCGGCCCUUCGGGGCAGCGGCGGACGGGUGAGUAACGCGUGGGAACGUGCCCUUUGGUACGGAACAACUGAGGGAAACUUCAGCUAAUACCGUAUGUGCCCUACGGGGGAAAGAUUUAUCGCCAUUGGAGCGGCCCGCGUUAGAUUAGCUAGUUGGUAGGGUAAUGGCCUACCAAGGCGACGAUCUAUAGCUGGUCUGAGAGGAUGAUCAGCCACACUGGGACUGAGACACGGCCCAGACUCCUACGGGAGGCAGCAGUGGGGAAUCUUGCGCAAUGGGCGAAAGCCUGACGCAGCCAUGCCGCGUGAAUGAUGAAGGUCUUAGGAUUGUAAAAUUCUUUCACCGGGGACGAUAAUGACGGUACCCGGAGAAGAAGCCCCGGCUAACUUCGUGCCAGCAGCCGCCGCAGUAA
rnacentral:rRNA from 1 species